rnacentral:rRNA from 1 species
CGGCAGCAGGCCCCGCAAGGGGCGCUGGCGAGCGGCGAAGGGAGAGUAACGCGCGGGUACCUGCCCUCGGGACCGGGAUAGCUGCGGGAAACUGCAAUUAAUACCGGAUAAUGUCCCUGGACCAAAGGUGAGAUUCCGCCUGAGGAGGGGCCCACGUCCUAUCAGCUUGUUGGUGAGGUAACGGCUCACCAAGGCGACGACGGGUACGGGGUGUGAGAGCAUGCCCCCGCUCACUGGGACUGAGACACUGCCCAGACACCUACGGGUGGCUGCAGUCGAGAAUCUUCCGCAAUGGGCGAAAGCCUGACGGAGCGACGCCGCGUGCGGGAUGAAGGCCUUCGGGUUGUAAACCGCUGUCAGAGGGGAACAAAUUCAUGGGGGUCCUCCCCUGUGUUUGAGUGAUCCUCAGAGGAAGCGCAGGCUAAGUCCGUGCCAGCAGCCGCGGUAACACGGACUGCGCGAACGUUAUUCGGAAUCACUGGGCUUAAAGCGUCCGUAGGCGGUCGUGCAGGUGGGGUGUGAAAUCCCUCGGCUUAACCGAGGAAUUGCGCUCCAAACCACAUGGCUGGAGAGAGAUAGAGGUGAGCGGAACUCACGGUGGAGCGGUGAAAUGCGUUGAUAUCGUGAGGAACACCGGUGGCGAAAGCGGCUCACUGGGUCUCUUCUGACGCUGAGGGACGAAAGCUAGGGGAGCGAACGGG